rnacentral:rRNA from 1 species
CUAGCGACUUCAGAGUUUGAUCCUGGCUCAGGAUGAACGCUGGCGGCGUGCUUAACACAUGCAAGUCGAACGAAGCAAUUAGAGUGCUUGCACUUUGAUUGACUGAGUGGCGGACGGGUGAGUAACGCGUGGGUAACCUGCCUCACACAGGGGGACAACAGCUGGAAACGGCUGCUAAUACCGCAUAAGCGCACAGUACCGCAUGGUACAGUGUGAAAAACUCCGGUGGUGUGAGAUGGACCCGCGCCUGAUUAGCUAGUUGGUAGGGUAACGGCCUACCAAGGCGACGAUCAGUAGCCGGCCUGAGAGGGUGAACGGCCACAUUGGGACUGAGACACGGCCCAA